rnacentral:rRNA from 1 species
UACGUAGGGGCCGAGCGUUGUCCGGAGUUAUUGGGCGUAAAGCGCGCGCAGGCGGCUUGGCGCGCCCGACGUGAAAGCCCCCGGCUUAACCGGGGAGAGUCGUCGGGUACGGCCAGGCUUGAGGGCGGGAGAGGUUGGUGGAAUUCCCGGUGUAGUGGUGAAAUGCGUAGAGAUCGGGAGGAACACCUGUGGCGAAGGCGGCCGACUGGGCCGACCCUGACGCUGAGGCGCGAAGGCGUGGGGAGCGAACGGG